rnacentral:rRNA from 1 species
AACGAACGCUGGCGGCAUGCCUAACACAUGCAAGUCGAACGAGACCUUCGGGUCUAGUGGCGCACGGGUGCGUAACGCGUGGGAACCUGCCCUUAGGUUCGGAAUAACUCCCCGAAAGGGGUGCUAAUACCGGAUAAUGUCUUCUGACCAAAGAUUUAUCGCCUUUGUAUGGGCCCGCGUUGGUUUAGCUAGUUGGUAGGGUAAAAGCCUACCAAGGCAACGAUCCAUAGCUGGUCUGAGAGGAUGAUCAGCCACACUGGGGCGAAGACGCGGCGCGGACUCCUGCGGGAGGCAGCAGUGGGGAAUACUGGCCAAUGGGCUAAAGCCUGAUCCAGCUCGGCCGCGUGAGUGAUGAAGUCCUUAGGGUAGUAAAGCUCUUUUACCCGCGACGAUAAUGACGGUACCGAGAGAAUAAGCACCGGCUAACUUCGUG